rnacentral:rRNA from 1 species
UACGGAGGAUCCAAGCGUUAUCCGGAUUUAUUGGGUUUAAAGGGUGCGUAGGUGGCUUAUUAAGUCAGGGGUGAAAGACGGUAGCUUAACUAUCGCAGUGCCUUUGAUACUGAUGAGCUUGAAUGAACUAGAGGUAGGCGGAAUGUGACAAGUAGCGGUGAAAUGCAUAGAUAUGUCACAGAACACCAAUUGCGAAGGCAGCUUACUAUGGUUUGAUUGACACUGAGGCACGAAAGCGUGGGGAUCAAAACGG